AAUAACACAAAAAAAAUGACAAUUGUAAUGUCAUCUAUUCCAUCUUUGUCUGGGUGAUUUUAACGUUGUCACAGGGGGUUAUGCUCCUCCACCUGAAGCUUGGAUUGUGACAUAAAAGGAAGUGGGGAAAAAUGUGACUAAAUAUUGCAUGGAUUUUGAAAAUGUGCUUGUGAGAACAUUGAGAAGCUUUUAACAGAUUCAGUCUUUUAUUUUUCCUUUCUAACUUCUACAGUCUGUAUCAGUGUGGGUUACUGGAGUUUCAUCUUCUGAAGCCUUUCCAGGCCCUAGCUGUUUGGUCAGCUAAUCACAGAUAUCACAUUUUAAAAGAAGAUCCACAAAGCAGUUGCAGGCACUUGGAAGAAUUUUGACCAAGUUUGGGUGAACCAAGGACUAUGGAGAACAUCAGAAUUCAUGUGAUAUUAAUGAAGUGAUUAUUCAUACUGGACUUACAAAUGUAGAAGACUUAAGUUCUUCUGGGAGGAGGCAGGAUCACAACCAGGAGCACCAGGAGCAUCAUUCUUUCCUAGCUGUUGAAGAUGUUGCCAUUUCCUUGAUGAUGUGCCCAGCUGUUUAAAAAGCAGGAAAAAAAAAUCCAUGUGCUUGACAUUUGACAGGUUUCAA
rnacentral:lncRNA from 1 species